rnacentral:rRNA from 1 species
AAUGAACGCUGGCGGCAUGCCUAACACAUGCAAGUCGAACGAAGGCUUCGGCCUUAGUGGCGCACGGGUGCAUAACGCGUGGGAAUCUGCCCUCAGGUUCGGAAUAACAGCGAGAAAUUGCUGCUAAUACCGGAUGAUAUCGCGAGAUCAAAGAUUUAUCGCCUGAGGAUGAGCCCGCGUAGGAUUAGCUAGUUGGUGUGGUAAAGGCGCACCAAGGCGACGAUCCUUAGCUGGUCUGAGAGGAUGAUCAGCCACACUGGGACUGAGACACGGCCCAGACUCCUACGGGAGGCAGCAGUGGGGAAUAUUGGACAAUGGGCGAAAGCCUGAUCCAGCAAUGCCGCGUGAGUGAUGAAGGCCUUAGGGUUGUAAAGCUCUUUUACCCGGGAUGAUAAUGACAGUACCGGGAGAAUAAGCUCCGGCUAACUCCGUGCCAGCAGCCGCCGCGG